GCCUGUCUUGAACAGGAUGAACUUUCCCGUGCUUUUUAGAACAUAGAUGGCACCAGUCAGGUGACCAUCGAAACGUAAUACGCCACGGAAUUACUUCGGUAAUCGGAUUGGUAUGGCAAGGUUCGCCGUCCACGUUUCUCUUUCUUCAAGAAGGAUAUAAACCUUUGGUUUGCGCUCACGUGCUGUUGCCCCUUUGGGGCUGCACUCCGCGGGGGCGCCGGACGACCGGCGACGGCUCGCUGAGCCUGUAUGGGUGUCCAAUUGGACGCUUGAUACGCUCGGUAAGAUGGGCCCGUAGCUCAGUUGGUUAGAGCACACGCUUGAUAAGCGUGGGGUCGGAAGUUCAAGUCUUCCCGGGCCCACCAUUGGUUUGCUGAAUUUACCUGAUCCCUGGCGGUUUUGCUGUCGGGUGUUUGCGAUGGUUGGGGCUGUAGCUCAGCUGGGAGAGCACCUGCUUUGCAAGCAGGGGGUCAGCGGUUCGAUCCCGCUCAGCUCCACCAAUCGCGGAACGCGGUUUUGGUGUGUAGCGCGGGAAUAUCCUUCUGAAGAAAUAAAAGUUUGCAUCGUCUGAGAGGACUGAUGCCUGUUCUGAAUACAUUGUGAAGAGAAGAUAUGUCUGGAAGCUUCCAGGUGUUUUGAGCCCUUGUGGUUUGAAACGUCCGAGCCCAGUCCCAGAGAAACCAUGUGAUGGCUUAGUCGGCCGGAAUUGGCGGAGGGAUUGGAGGUAGGUAGGAAAGCUUGUCCGAGGCAUUUUUGUUGUUUGAAGGUUUAGGCCUUCAUCUGAUGGGAAUGCUGGAUUGAUGUUGCCUGACCGCGCAUCACCGGAUGAUAUCUCGAGAAGCUGGUCUUAAUGGUAUGGCUUCGAGGUGCACCGGCGUGCCCUCAAUGAAGACCGUACCGACACGUCGAUGUCAUCAGGAAAGACUUGAUUGUAAAAGGUAAUCAGGUUGCCGUUCCUUUGGAGCGGCUAUGGAUGAGCAUAGACAAUGAGAACGAAGAAGUGAAUUAAGGGCAUUUGGUGGAUGCCUUGGCAUGCACAGGCGAAGAAGGACGUGAUACGCUGCGAAAAGCCG
rnacentral:tRNA from 1 species